rnacentral:tRNA from 1 species
UUGUAAAAGAAUUAUUCUAUUCAUUUUUGGGAUAUGAGCCCAACAGCUUAAUACUUAGCUUAUUUUACA